UAAAAACGAUAAAACUUUGGAACUAAUUUUCCUCCUGACACACAGAAGUUGCAGAAAAUGUCUCUGUUUGGGUCCAUGGAGGGAAGAAAAGGUCUGGUGUAAGAGAAAAGUCUGACCGGUGCAACUUCAACUAUUCUGAACCUAAAUUUGAUUAUAAACAAUAACUAGAAAAUUCCUGCAGAAAUUUUACGGGGCAUAACGAAGUGUGCCCGUCAGCUUUAACCAAACAUUUUAGCUAUAGUCUGCAUGUAACCUGGUUGUAAUUCUCUUUUAUUAUAAUUACACAAAAUGUCUUCUUUUGGUUAUUUGUCUUGUUCCUUAUCUUACUGAAACACCUCUGUCAUUGUUUUAACCGUGUUAUUUUAAGAUCGGAAGCCCCUCCCUUUUAUUUCUUCUUCUGUGGUAUUGUCUUUAAAUUGUUUGCGCCCCUUAGCCCCUCCCCUUUUGACAUGUUGUCCUGCGGGAGAGGACUUGGAGCGGGCAGCCUAUAACACGGUUGUUUUGUCUGUAUUUUCGUCAGAAAUAAACCGAGAAUCAUCCGCUUGAAAGAAACUGUGUCACGGUCCAUUCACUCAAAAACCAGCACAACGCAGAAAAGGAUCC